rnacentral:lncRNA from 1 species
AAGAAAAAAUUAGUUGUAAGUAACGAUAAACUCACCAAUUUUAAGGAUGAUCAAACAGAUGAAGAACUAGAGAUCUGUGAGACAGAUAAAUCCCUGAAAUUGAGAGAAAAGGAAAAAGAAAAAGAGAGAGAAAGAGAGUAUCAAUGGAAAAAUCCCCUGUUCUCCUUCUAUUGUUGUAAGAGUAAUUUACCGUUAACGGCGACGUGGCUGUUAGUAUUUUGUCAUUAAUAGCCAUCAGUAGUAUAUUUAACUUCCAAGAUACCCUUUACUUGGAAAAAGGAAUAUGAAUUAGAAUGUUUUUUUUUUGUUUUUUUAAUAAUUAAGGAAGAGGAUAAUAGUUAAAGAAUGUUGUUAUAUAUGAUGAUAAAUUUAUAUUGAUAUUAAAUAUCUACUUACGUAGAUAUAUGAGAUAAGAGAGUAUAAAGAAGGAAUUCACAAAUUAGUAUAGUAUAUAGGACAGUAUAUUCCUGACACGCCUCACAAAGUUAAAACUUCUGCUUCAAAUAACUAUACGGGUUGGAAGGACUUUAGAAAAUAUAAAGAAAAAAAGUAUCACUGAUGUAGAAACCAAACCACAGAUUAAAACCUGCCUAAAGGAAAAUGUUUAUUUUCUUAUUAAAACAAAUGCCUAUCACAGAGUUUGAACAAUCUAAAUUUGAUAUUUUAAGUUUAGGAGAUGAAGGUACAUCUACAUUAUGAAAAUGAACAUUUAUAAAUUACUUUUAUUUAUUUUUCCAUUUGUUAACCUGAUUAGAUAUAGUUAUAAGCAACAACACUACGAUGCAGAUAUUUCUAGAAGUGAAAAAAUUACUAAUACAUUUUGUUCAUGCUAUUCUUCCAACCAAAUUACUGCCUUACCACAUACCCUCAUAAUAAUUCAACCACAAAAACUAACAAUAAGAAGCAUAAUCGAACCAACCAACAGCUGCUAAAUGUACCCUAAACAUCCAAACUUUAAUCAUCACCUUCUGAAAAUGAUACAAUCCAAAUUUCACACAAUCUAUUACCUCUUAAAGUACCAAAAAGGGAAACAAUUAAUGAAACUACAGGUAAACUAGCGAAGUAUUUUCCCAAUUAGCAAUUGUUGGUGACGAGAAUAAAAAUACGGCCAAAAUAAACAAAACUGUUACAUUUCAUAGAAAGUAAAUUACUUGUUGGAGUAGAAAGUUUCAAACGUUAAAAUAAAAACUGACAGGAACUGAUGUUAAGUAUGUGGAUUUCCGUUAUUUCUUCUUCGUUGUUAACCCUAACGAUUAUGUUUAUCACUAUACGAGAAUAGGCUAAAAGGUUCCAUUGCUUUUAUCUGGAAACAAGCAGAUGAUAACAAACCCCAUUUAGAAUGAAUGCAACCAAAUUUGGUAAAGAUAUAACUAUCACAAGCAUACUACCACCAAAUAUUCAAUAAAAUUACAACAAAUGCAUAAAUAAAAACAAAACCCUACCUUUUUAUCAUUAACGAUAUCCAGAGCUUGCAAGGGUCACCUUGUAAUAUUAAUCUUGUUAAUAUUAAUGGAAAUAUAUCAAUUUUGGGGCUCCUGUAUAAAUCAAAGAAAAGCCCUAAUUUUGAGUCAGAAUCUAAGGUUCGAUCAUCCAACUUACAAUCAACAUAAAACCCAUCAAAAUAAUCAAUUUUAACGGCUAAUGUGUAUACAUAUGUGCAUAAACAAAAACAAUAUCCGUUUUUUAGAGGAUCAAAAAUGAAAUAGAAAUAGUAAAUAAAUAGUGGGAAACAGAGGCUGAGGAAAGAGAAAAUUAGUGGUGAGUCAGAUAAGCUCACCAAUUUGAAGGAUGAUCGAACAGAUGAAGAUCAAGAGAUCUGUGAGACGGAUAAGUCCCUGAAAUUGAGAGAAAAAGGGAGGGGGAGAGAGAGAGAGUUUCAAUGGAAAAUCCCCUGUUCUCCUUCUUCUAUGUUGUAAGAGUAAUUUAC